GACGGAGGGCGCGAGCGUUGUUCGGAAUUACUGGGCGUAAAGGGCGCGUAGGCGGCCCGCUAAGUCGAACGUGAAAUCCCUAGGCUCAACCUAGGAACUGCGUCCGAUACUGGUGGGCUUGAAUCCGGGAGAGGGAUGUGGAAUUCCAGGUGUAGCGGUGAAAUGCGUAGAUAUCUGGAGGAACACCGGUGGCGAAGGCGACAUCCUGGACCGGUAUUGACGCUGAGGCGCGAAAGCCAGGGGAGCAAACGGG
rnacentral:rRNA from 1 species